CCCUUAGAUGUUCUGGGCCGCACGCGCGCUACACUGACGAAUGCAACGAGCUUAUAACCUUGGCCGAAAGGUCUGGGUAAUCUCCAAAUUUCGUCGUGAUGGGGAUAGAUUAUUGCAAUUAUUAAUCUUCAACGAGGAAUGCCUAGUAAGCGUAAGUCAUCAGCUUGCGUUGAUUACGUCCCUGCCCUUUGUACACACCGCCCGUCGCUCCUACCGAUUGAAUGGUCCGGUGAAGCGUUCGGACCGUGGCCUUUGGACGGUUCGCCGUCUGUUGGCUGCGGGAAGUUCGUUAAACCUUAUCAUUUAGAGGAAGGAGAAGUCGUAACA
rnacentral:rRNA from 1 species